ensembl:lncRNA
AUAUGUUAUUUCUUUCCAGAUGGUAGUCUGAGAGGGACAGAAUGAGAGGGAGCAGGAGAAAGAAGUGAAUAAAUAAGAAUGCAUCUGGAGAAUGAGGCAUCUUGGAAUCUGGAAAGUGAGGCAUUCUGGAAGAGAGAUGAAGUCCCACAGAACUGGAAAAAUAAAACACUCUAAGCUUCAUAUGGAACCAAAAGAGAGCCCAUAUAGCCAAGAUAAUCCUAAGCAAGAAGAACAAAGCUGGAGGCAUCACACUACCUGACUUCAAACUAUACCACAAGGCUACAGUAAUCAAAACAGCAUGGUAUUGGUACCGAAACAGAGAAAUCGACCAAUGGAACAGAACAGAGGUCUCAGAGGCAAUGACACACAUCUACAACCAUCUGAUCUUUGACCAACCUGACAAAAACAAGCAAUGAGGAAAAGAUUCCCUGUUUAAAUGGUAUUGGGAAAACUGGCUAGCCAUGUGCAGAAAGCAGAAACUGAACCCUUUCCUUACACCUUACACUAAAAUUAACUCCAGAUGGAUUAAAGAUUUAAACAUAAGAUCUAACACCAUAAAAACCCUAGAGAAAAACCUAGGCAAUAACCACAACUCUUAAAAGGAUGGGAUGCUACCUGUGUCAUUGUUUCCUUUUGCUUUCAGAAGGUUUGAAAUCUUUUCCUGGGCAACUCAUGUUGAUGGCCUUCAGGCUAGCUCUCCUAUGAAACUCACCAUGCUAUGUUAGAAAUAUCUAUAUGCCAGUUCUCAGGGCUUUAAAUUUGUCUGAAGACCAUUCAUGAAGCAAGAUAUUAAAGAGAUCCUAGCUUCGUUAAGAGGAAAAGAGAAUGAAGUUUGAUCAUGGUACAAUUCAAACCCAAAUACCUGUUUGCUCAGUUUCAUACCAUGAAUAACUUUUUAAAACCCGUUUUAAAUAAUUGUUAUAUUUAUUAUGGAUGGUGACAAAUAGAAUGGUUUAGAGAAACCAGCCCUUACUCCCCAAGGCAAAUGUCCUGUUAGAAUGUAAAUACUUCUGUCAUCCUUGCAUUAUAACGAGGUCAUACUGUUUUAAUUACUGUUUCAUUUAUUUAAUAGUCAUUAUUGUUACUGCAUUUCUCCCUUGGAAGAAGAAAUAAUAACUUCCAUCCUGGUUUAUAAAAUUAAAGUAGCUUCAGUUUGCUCAAUUGUAAAAUAGAAAAAUAUAUCUUGAUUUUCAAAACAUAUUGGGGUUUGGAGAUUGGGAAUAUAUUAGUCAAGAAUACAAAAUUUCAGUUAGAGGAAUAAGUUUAAGAGCUCUAUCGUACAUCAGAGUGACUACAGUUACUGACAACAUAUUACAUACUUGGAAAUUGCUAAGAGUAGGUUUUAAGCAUCCUUAAUACAAAAAUAAAUGAUAAAUAUGUGAGGUAAUGCAUAUGUUAAUUAGAUUGAUCUGGCCUUUCCACAGUAUAUACGUAUAUCAAAAUAUCAUGUUGUAUACCAUAAAUACAAUUUUAAUUUGUCAAUAAAAAAUAAUUUAUAAAAUAAAGUUUUGUAAACAUACAAAAAUUAUACUUUGUUAUUAUAACAUAUGUGAAACCCCAUUUUUCACAAGGAAUUAUGAACUGGUCCAGCAAUCUGAAGCAAAACAAUAUAAAAUAUAGUAGUUUAACUACAGUAGACAAUUAAGCUGCCUAAUUGCAUAGCAAAGCUAAAACAUAAACUCCUAAAUCUCAACCCACAUCAGGACUAUUUAUUUCCAGAAAGCAAUCUCUUCACUUAAAAUAGUUGAUAUGUAGAUGAACUACAAUUUUCCACAAUUAAAGAGAUGGCUGUAUUUCUUUCUGAUAACUUUUUAGAAUCUUCUCUAAAUUUUAAGAAAAAGAAAAAGAAUUAUAUUGACUAAAAAGACCACAGAUAAAAUUUCCAAUGGCUCCUACCUGUUUGCUUUCUCUUGGAAGUUCAUGUGCCUUGAAAACUGUGAGGUCAAAAAAUGAGUGUCAAAGCAACUGUUAACCUCUGCAGGGUGAUGAAGGCUUGAAGUAUAAGACUAAGGUGACUUUGCAGAGGUUGGUAACCAGUGUCCUUCUAGGAUGUAAUAUAAGUGACACAAAGUGCUUCUCAGAUGCUUAGAUUAUGAGAAAACAAAAAUAUGAUUUACUUGAGGGAUUGCAAAUUCUAAUUCUCUGGAAGUCACCAUGUACCAUCGUUAUUGUAUAACUCUUUAAAUCUUCAGAUCUUAGUAUUAUGCCCAUUUUACAUAAUAGCUGAGAGUUUAAGGUGAUUUAAGAACUUUGCCUAAUGAAACGGAACCUAACCUCUUUUCCCAGUGAAAAAAUAUUAUCUAUCAAGAUGAGCAAGUAUUUUUCUUGGGGAAAAAACAGAUGAAAAUUAUCUCUAGACAAACUAACUGACAUAUUAGUUUGUGUGUAUGUGUGUGUGUCUUAGAUAUAAGAUUUAAACCAAUGUACACCUAGGAAACAGUUGACCUAGGCAAUGUGGCCUGGCAGGAGCUUACAAGGACUAAAGGUUGAAACAAUUUGACAAGCAAUUGUGAUUAUGAGAACAUGAGAUGUAGAAUUCAGAUUAUAAGCAUGUGGAAUGUUUCUGAGUACUAUUCAUUAAAUAGGACACCAUACCACCAAGUCAGUGUUUUGAGAGGAAAAUUACCAGGAGGAAAAAAAGAUUUUAAAACUAUCAGCUGUGGAGUAUAAUUGAACAACCUCACAUUGUUUAACUGGAAAGAAAAGAUUCAAGUCUGUGGUACCCUCUUUGACUCAAAUGAAGGGACUGUCUUGUCAAGGAAAGACUUGUUAUGUACACUGUGACAACAAAAAUUAAAUUUCUGGAAGUGGCAGAGAGUCAGAAAUGUCUUUCAUAUAGUGUGUUUAAAUAGAGAAGUUCAAGACAUUCAAGUUCAGAUGAGAAUAAAAAGCCUUGAGAGAUAGCAAGUCCCCUACCAUCUAAGAUAUAAAAGCAGAAAGAGUUACUGUGGAAAAAAUGUCAAGCACUGGGAUUGAAUUAGACGAGUAGACUUAAAGAUGUCUUUGCUGAGCAUAUUAAGAAUCUUUGAUACAGUUUCUUCUUAUUCUCGGAUUGAGAGAUAAAUUUGUGGUGACACAGCCUUUAAAAAUUACCUAACUUCCAGGCGCAAUGGCUCCCACGCCUGUAAUCUCAGCACUUUGGGAGGCUGAGGCAGGUGGAUCACGGUCAGGAAAUUGAGACCACUCUGGCUAACAUGGUGAAACUCUUUCUCUACUAAAAAUAGAAAAAAUUAUAUACAUGAUGGUGCAUGCCUGUAUUCCCAUCUACUCAGGAGGUUCAGGCAGGGGAAUCACUUGAACCCAGGAGGUGGAGGUUGCAGUGAGCUUAUAUUGCACCACUGCACUUCGACCUGGGUGACAGAGUUGACUUGGUCUCAAAAAAAAUCUACUGGGGGGAAAAGGGGAGGGCCAGUGGGAGGGGGAGGUGGGGAGGGAUAGCCUGGGGAGAAAUGCCAAAUGUGGGUGAAGGGGAGAAGAAAAGCAAAGCACACUGCCAUGUGUGUACCUACGCAACUGUCUUGCAUGCUCUGCUCAUGUACCCCAAAACCUAUAAUCCAAUAAAAAAUUAAAAAAAAAAAAAAAAGAAUAUUGCCUUAAAAAAAAAAAUCUAACCUUCUAGUUUUCUAAUUGUAAAGGUUAAAAGAAUUAGUCAU